UACAGAGGGUGCAAGCGUUAAUCGGAUUUACUGGGCGUAAAGCGUGCGUAGGCGGCCAGACCAGUCGGAUGUGAAAUCCCCGAGCUUAACUUGGGAACUGCAUCCGAAACUAUCUGGCUAGAGUGUGGUAGAGGGCGGUGGAAUUCCCGGUGUAGCGGUGAAAUGCGUAGAUAUCGGGAGGAACAUCAAUGGCGAAGGCAGCCGCCUGGGCCAACACUGACGCUGAGGUACGAAAGCGUGGGGAGCAAACAGG
rnacentral:rRNA from 1 species